CCUACGGGUGGCAGCAGUGAGGAAUAUUGGUCAAUGGACGGGAGCCUGAACCAGCCAAGCCGCGUGCGGGAAGAAGGUACAGCGUGUUGUAAACCUCUUUUGUCAGAGGAUAAAGCUGGGUACGUGUAUUCAGCUGAGGGUACUUUACGAAAAAGCAUCGGCUAACUCCGUGCCAGCAGCCGCGGUAAUACGGAGGAUCCAAGCGUUAUCCGGAUUUAUUGGGUUUAAAGGGUGCGAAGGCGGUGUGUUAAGUCAGCGGUAAAAGCCCGGGGCUAAACCCCGGCGAGCCGUUGAAACUGGCGAGCUGGAGUUGGAGAGAAGUAGGCGGAAUGUGCGGGGUAGCGGUGAAAUGCUUAGAGAUCGCGCAGAACACCGAUUGCGAAGGCAGCGUACCAACUCAACACUGACGCUGAGGCACGAAAGCGUGGGUAUCGAACAGGAUUAGAUACCCCUGUAGUC
rnacentral:rRNA from 1 species